UAUGAUUCCAUUUAUUUGAACUGUCAAGAAUGGGAAAACACACAGAGACAUAAAGCAAAUUCAUGAUUGUAAUGAUUAUUUAGGGAUGGAAGGGCUAGGGGAUUCAGGUUGUGUUUCUUUUUAGGUGAUGAGAAGGUUUUAAAGUUGAUUGUGGUAAUAGUUUCAUGACUGUGAACAUGCUAAAGGGCAUCGAAUUAUAUACUUUAGUAAGUGAACUAUAUGGUACUGAGGCAGGAUAGAUAGUCAAGGAGAUGACCACGUCCUUGGGACAUGGCAACCACACUGUCAACAGCACAAUGAGCCCUGUAACCAUGUUCAUUGGGACAUAGCAACCGCACCAACAACACAACAAACCUCAGCACUCACAUUGUAAUCAAGCUCAUCCAAGCAGAACUACCUUCACUGGGGACUUUCCCCUGUAGAGAGCAUGUGCAUUUUCACUUUGCUUGUCCUCAGAAUGACCCUUUGCUCAUUAUAAUAGUAAAAAACACACCCCUGGGUAGAGAUUUAAGACGGCAAUGAGACAUGCAAUGUAUGAACAAGCAUGUACAGCAACUGCUCAUGUGCACCCAGAGGACCACCCAGAACAUGAUUACUAGGAACACACCUCUUCCCACCCACUAUGAAUAAUCACAUAAGACUCUCAUAAAGGGAGUUCCCUCAGAGCCAGUCUUUGCUGACUCACUCUUGAUCAGCCCACUCUGACUUAUCUUUCAGAGUGUACCUUUCAGAGUGUAUCUUUCAGAGUUUUAUCUUUGCACUAAAUUACUUUCAGCUGUUUCUUUUUACACUCAGCUUUCAGAGUGUUCUUUCUCUUUUGCAAUACAUUGCUUUCUGUUGUUCCUCUAUGGUUGUGUCUCUUGUUAAAAUUAUUUUAACCAAGAAGACAAGAACAGAGGUCUCACAAUCACCGUCAACAGUAUGUAAAUUAUACCUCAGUGAAGCUAUUACCAAAAAAAUUAACCCUGUGUUCCUCUUCCUCCUAAUGCAGUUGUAGCCACUCUCCUGAAUUUUGUCUCUAUUGUCCUAUUGAUUUUUAAAUUUUUUUAUAAACACAUCCCUUAAUAAUAUAUAAAUGUAAUCCUUAACAAUAUACAUUUAGUUUAUAAUUUUUAAAGUUUGUAAAAGUAGAAUCAAACAUCAAGCAUUCCAUAACAAUAUUUUUGGUUCAAUAUUAGGUUUCAUACCCAUGUUGAUUGGCCAUAGCUAUUCAUUCAUUUGCAUGGUACUCCCAUGUGGCAAAUGGGAAUGUGCCACAGUUUACUUAUCCUGACUCCUGUCAACAAUCACUGGAGGUUGUAUAUAGUCCAUUCUCACACUGCUAUGAAGAAAUACCCAAGACUGGGUAAUUUAUAAAGGAAAGAGGUUUAAUUGACCCACACUUCCACAUUGCUGGGGGGCCUCAGGAAACUUACAGUCAUGACAGAAGGCAAAGGAGAAGCAGGCACCUUCUUCACAGGGCAGCAGGAUGGAGUGAGUGCAAGCAGGGGAAAUGCCAGAUUCUUAUAAAACCACCAGAUUGGCCGGGUGCGGUGGCUCACGCCUGUAAUCCCAGCACUUUGGGAGGCCGAGGCAGGCGGAUCACGAGGUCAAGAGAUCAAGACCAUCCUGACCCACAUAGUGAAACCCCAUCUCUACUAAAAAUACAAAAAUUAGCUGGGUUUGGUGGUGCAAGUCUGUAGUCCCAGCUACUCAGGAGGCUGAGUCAUCAGAAUCGCUUGAACCCGGGAGGCGGAGGUUGCAGUGAGCCAAGAUCGCACCACUGCACUCUAGCCUGGUGACAGGGCAAGACUCCAUCUCAAAAAUAAAUAAAUAAAUAAAUAAAAAUAAGAUCUCACAAGAUUCACGUACCAUCAUUAGAACAGCAUGGGGGAACCACCCCCACGAUCCCAUUACCUCCACCUGGUCCUGCCUUUGACACGUGGGAAUUACAAUUCAAGAUGAGAUUUUGGGUGGGGACCACCGCCAAACCAUAUUAGGGGUGUUCCCAGUGUGUCACCAUUACUGAACAGGUUACUGUUAAUACUCUCCAUAGUAUGUUUUGAUAAACAGAUGUUCUUAUCUAAUGUAAUGAAAUUUAUCUCUUUGUACCUUACUUUUUGUCUUUAUUUUUUGUGCUUAUGAACUACAGUAAGGUCAUAAAGAUGUUCUCCUGUAUUUGCUUCUAAAAAUUGACAUUUGGCCAGGCACGGUGGCUCACACCUGUAAUCCCAGCACUUUGGGAGGCUGAGGUGGGUGGAUCACCUGAGGUCAGGAGUUCAAGACCAGCCUGGCCAACAUGGUGAAACCCAUCUCUACUAAAAAAUACAAAAAUUAGCCAGGCGUGGUGGUGCACGCCUGUAAUCCCAGCUACUCAGGAGGCUGAGACACAAGAAUUGCUUGAACCCAGGGGGCAGAGGUUGCAGUGAGCCAAGAUCAUGCCACUGCACUCCAGCCUGGGCAACAGAGCGAGACUCUGUCUCAAAAAUAAAAUAAAAAUAAAAAUUGACAUCUGUCCUUCACAUGUAAGUCUGAAAUUCUCCCCAAACUGACUUUUUCUGUGCAGUGCAAAGUCCAUGUGGUUAUAUGUGAAUACCAUUUACUAGUUAGGGAUCAACAAACUAUAGCCUACAGGCAAAUGCAGGCCUUCAUCUGUUUUUGUUUUGUUUGUAAUAGACACUGGGUGUCACUAUGUUGCCCAGUUCAAAUAAUCCUCCUGCCUCUGCCUCCCAAAGUGCUGGGAUUAUAGGUGUGAACCACCAUGCCUGGUCUCCUUUGCCCGUUUUUGUACAGCCCAGUAGCUAAUAAUGGUUUCUGCAUUUUAAAUGGCUGAGAAAAACAAAAAGAAAGCUAAUAACUCAUGACCCAUGAAAAUUAUAUGAAAUUUAAAUCUCAAUGCACAUAAAGUUUUAUUAGAACAUAUCCAUGAUCAUUUGUUCACGUACAGUAUUGUCUAUAGCUGCUCUUACAAUACCACAGCAGAGGUGACUAACUACAACAGACACUGUGAACACCACGUAAGGCUGUCUAGCCCUUACCAAAAAAGUUUGCCAAUCCCUCAAUAGUUCAUCCUUUCCCCCCAUGAUCUGCAGUACUGUCUCUGUUGUAAAUUAGAGUUUCAUUUAUUUGUGGGUCUGUUUUGGAAAUUUGGCUCAAUCCAUUGGCCAAUUUAACUAUCUCUACACCAAAAAUACACUAUCUUGAUCACAAUAAUAAUUUAUAAUAAGCCUUAAUAAUAACACAAGUCUCCCUGCCUGAUGUUCCUUCUUUGUUAAUGAAAUAGCUAACCCUGCCUCUUUACUUUUCCAAAUACAUUUCAGAAUCUGGCUUCCAAUUCCAGGAAAGACCUUGUUGGGAUUUGGUUUGGAAUCACAUUGAAUCCAUAGAGGUCUCACUCAUUUGUUACCAUAAUCCUUGGUAAAACUCACCUACACGACCAUCCAGGCACACCAUUUCUUUGUAGAAAAAGUGUUAACUACUGAUUUAUCCUUUAAUGAGCAAAGGACUGCUUAGAUUUUUAAAUAUUUUCUUGGUUCAAUUUUGAUGACAUUUUUCUUGGAAUAUAUCAAUUCCAUCAAAAUUUUCCAAUUUUUUAUAAUUAUUUAUCAAUAUUUGUUUUUGCUGGUUUAAUCUCUGCAGCAUCUAUAGUUGUGGUCUCUUUUUUACUCCUAAAUCAUUUGCUGUGCCUUCUCUCUUUUAUAUGCUUGUUUUUCUUCAUUUAUUUUUGCUCAUAUCUUUGUAUUGUCUUCCCCUUUUUCUGUCUUCUUAAAUUGGAUAAUUAACUCCUUAACUUGCACCUCUCCUUCCUUUCUUUCUUUUUCUCUUCUUCUUUUGCUUUCUUUCUCUUUUUCUUUUCUUUUCUCCAGGCUAGUAUUGAAUUCCUAGCCUCAAGCGAUCCUCCCACCUCAGCCUUGCAAAGUGCUGGGAUUACAGGCAUAAGCCACCAUGCCAAGUCACCUUUUCCUUUCUUAAUGUAAGGAUUUAUGCUACAAAAUUUUUUCUAAGCACCCCUUUAGCUGCAUGGUCCAAAUAUUGGUAUCUAGUAUUUUUGUUAUCAUUCAGCUCUAAAUAUUAUCUAACUCCCAUUAGUUUUCUUUUUUUGACUCAUAAUGUAUCUAGCAGUAUAUUCUAAAAUUCCUGAAAGUAUAGGGUUUUUCUGGUUAUCUCUCGCUAUUGAUUCCUGAAUUAAUUGCUUUACGGUUAAAGAAGAUUAUUUCUACGUUACUAAUCUAAAAUUUGUUGGCUUGCUUUAAGACUCUCAUAAAUAUUCCAUGUGUGCAGUUGAAAAGAAUCUGUAUUUCACAAUUAUAUUAUAUAUGGUCAUUAAGUAAGCUUGUUGGUAAAUUUUCUAUGUCUUUAUAGACUUCUAUGUUUCCUUCAUUCAUCAGUUCCUUAGAAAGGUGUAUUUAGAUCUCCCACUAUGAUGAUGUUUGUCCUCUCCAAACUUCAUGUUGAAACUUAAUCCCAAAUGUGGCAGUAUUGAAAGAUGGGUCUUUUGGCAGGGUGUGGCGGCUCAUGCCUGUAAUCCCAACACUUUGGGAGGCCGAGGCAGGCAGAUCACCUGAGGUCAAGAGUUCAAGAUUAGCCUGGCCAACUUGGUGAAACCCCAUCUCUACUAAAAAUAGAAAAAUUAGCCAAGCAUGGUGGCACACACCCAUAAUCCCAGCUACUCAGGAGGCUGAGGCAGGAGAAUUGCUUGAACCCAGGAGGCAGAGGUUGCAGUAAGCCGAGAUCCCACCACUACACUCCAGCCGGGGUGACAGAGUGAGACUCUAUCUCAAAAAAAAAAGGAAGAAAGGAAAGGAAGGAGAGGAGAGGAGAGAAGAAAAGAGGAGAGGGGAGGGGAAAAGAAAAGAAAGAAAGAGAGAGCAAAAGAAAGAAAGAGAGAAAGAAAGGAAGAAACAAAGAAAGGAAAAGAAAGAAAGAAAGAAAGAGAAAGAAAGGAAGGAAGAAACAAAGAAAGGAAAAGAAAGAAAGAAAAAGAAAGAAAGGAGGAGGAAGGGAGGGAGGGAGGGGAAGGAAGAAAGAGAAAGAGAGAAAGAAAGAUAGAAGAAAGACAGAGAGAGGAAGGAAGGAAGGAGGGAGGGAGAGAAGGAGGGAGGGGAAGGAAGGAAGGAAGAGAGAAAGAGAGAAAGAAAGGAAGAAACGAAAGAAAGAGAGAAAGAAAGGAAGAAAGAAAGAGAGGAAGGAAGGGAAGGAAGGAAGGAAAAGAGAGAAAGAACAGAGAAAGAGGAAGAAAGAAAGAGAGAAAGAGAGGGAGGGAGGAAGGAAGGAAAAGAGAAAGAAGAAAAAGAAGAAAAGAAAGACAGGAAGGAAAGAAAGAAAAGAAAAGGAAGGAAGGAAAGAAAGGAAGGAGGGAAAGAAAAAGAAGAAAGAAAAAGAAGAAAGAAAAAAUAAAGAGCCUUUAAUUGGUGAUUGGAUCAUAAAGGCUCCACCGUCAUGAAUGGAUUAACCCAUUCAUGGAUUAAUGAGUUAAUGAAUUAGUGGUUUAUCACAGGAAUGGGACUGGUGGUUUUAUAAAAAGAGGAAGAGAGAACUGAGCUAACACACUCAGCCUCCUCACUAUGGGAUGCCCUGUGCUGCCUCCAGACUCUGUAGAGAGUCCCCACCAGCAAGAAGGCCCUCACCGGAUGCACCCCCUUAACCUUGGACUUCUCAGCCUCCAGAUCUAUAAGAAGUCAAAUCAUCUCUCAUUAAUUACCCACUUUCAGGUAUUCUGUUAUAAACAGCAGAUGAUGAAUUCCUCUUUGCAAUCAGUCAAAAAUUUCAUUAUUUUGAGACUUAUUAAAUGCAAGCAAGUUAUAUAUUUCUAGUGAAUUAAAACUUUUAUCAGAAUUUUUUUGUCCUCUGUCUAGUAAUAACUUGCUUUAAAGCCUAUAUUUUCUUUUUCUUUUUUUUUUUUUUUUUUUUUUUUGAGACAGAGUCUCACUCUGUUGCCCAGGCUGGAGU
rnacentral:lncRNA from 10 species